rnacentral:lncRNA from 1 species
CAGAUGGGCUGGCAUUGGGAUCACAGCCCAGGACUAACUGAGGAGCCCAAAGACAUACCUGCUCCCCUCCCGUAGCCUCAGCUCCUCCUCUGGGGCCGUGGCUUCCUUCUGAGCACCCUGAGUGUGUGCCAUCCUGGGACACACAGCCCCUCCCCACCUCACAGGGCUCCCAGGCCAGUAGUCCAGACACUGGUCUGGAGACAAAUAAUCAUGCAAUGAUUGUGUUACUGUUGGGAGAACUCCUACUCAGGAGAGGUCCAGGUUGCUGUAAGAGCUUAUAACAGGGGUGGGG